GGUUAAGCGACUAAGCGUACACGGUGGAUGCCCUGGCAGUCAGAGGCGAUGAAGGACGUGCUAAUCUGCGAUAAGCGUCGGUAAGGUGAUAUGAACCGUUAUAACCGGCGAUUUCCGAAUGGGGAAACCCAGUGUGAUUCGUCACACUAUCAUUAACUGAAUCCAUAGGUUAAUGAGGCGAACCGGGGGAACUGAAACAUCUAAGUACCCCGAGGAAAAGAAAUCAACCGAGAUUCCCCCAGUAGCGGCGAGCGAACGGGGAGCAGCCCAGAGCCUGAAUCAGUGUGUGUGUUAGUGGAAGCGUCUGGAAAGGCGUGCGAUACAGGGUGACAGCCCCGUACACAAAAAUGCACAUGCUGUGAGCUCGAUGAGUAGGGCGGGACACGUGGUAUCCUGUCUGAAUAUGGGGGGACCAUCCUCCAAGGCUAAAUACUCCUGACUGACCGAUAGUGAACCAGUACCGUGAGGGAAAGGCGAAAAGAACCCCGGCGAGGGGAGUGAAAAAGAACCUGAAACCGUGUACGUACAAGCAGUGGGAGCCUCUUUAAUGGGGUGACUGCGUACCUUUUGUAUAAUGGGUCAGCGACUUAUAUUCUGUAGCAAGGUUAACCGAAUAGGGGAGCCGAAGGGAAACCGAGUCUUAACUGGGCGUUAAGUUGCAGGGUAUAGACCCGAAACCCGGUGAUCUAGCCAUGGGCAGGUUGAAGGUUGGGUAACACUAACUGGAGGACCGAACCGACUAAUGUUGAAAAAUUAGCGGAUGACUUGUGGCUGGGGGUGAAAGGCCAAUCAAACCGGGAGAUAGCUGGUUCUCCCCGAAAGCUAUUUAGGUAGCGCCUCGUGAAUUCAUCUCCGGGGGUAGAGCACUGUUUCGGCAAGGGGGUCAUCCCGACUUACCAACCCGAUGCAAACUGCGAAUACCGGAGAAUGUUAUCACGGGAGACACACGGCGGGUGCUAACGUCCGUCGUGAAGAGGGAAACAACCCAGACCGCCAGCUAAGGUCCCAAAGUCAUGGUUAAGUGGGAAACGAUGUGGGAAGGCCCAGACAGCCAGGAUGUUGGCUUAGAAGCAGCCAUCAUUUAAAGAAAGCGUAAUAGCUCACUGGUCGAGUCGGCCUGCGCGGAAGAUGUAACGGGGCUAAACCAUGCACCGAAGCUGCGGCAGCGACACUAUGUGUUGUUGGGUAGGGGAGCGUUCUGUAAGCCGUUGAAGGUGGCCUGUGAGGGUUGCUGGAGGUAUCAGAAGUGCGAAUGCUGACAUAAGUAACGAUAAAGCGGGUGAAAAGCCCGCUCGCCGGAAGACCAAGGGUUCCUGUCCAACGUUAAUCGGGGCAGGGUGAGUCGACCCCUAAGGCGAGGCCGAAAGGCGUAGUCGAUGGGAAACAGGUUAAUAUUCCUGUACUUGGUGUUACUGCGAAGGGGGGACGGAGAAGGCUAUGUUGGCCGGGCGACGGUUGUCCCGGUUUAAGCGUGUAGGCUGAUUUUCCAGGCAAAUCCGGAGAAUCAAGGCUGAGGCGUGAUGACGAGGCACUACGGUGCUGAAGCAACAAAUGCCCUGCUUCCAGGAAAAGCCUCUAAGCAUCAGGUAACAUCAAAUCGUACCCCAAACCGACACAGGUGGUCAGGUAGAGAAUACCAAGGCGCUUGAGAGAACUCGGGUGAAGGAACUAGGCAAAAUGGUGCCGUAACUUCGGGAGAAGGCACGCUGAUGGUAGGUGAAGCGACCUGCUCGUGGAGCUGAAAUCAGUCGAAGAUACCAGCUGGCUGCAACUGUUUAUUAAAAACACAGCACUGUGCAAACACGAAAGUGGACGUAUACGGUGUGACGCCUGCCCGGUGCCGGAAGGUUAAUUGAUGGGGUCAGCCGCAAGGCGAAGCUCUUGAUCGAAGCCCCGGUAAACGGCGGCCGUAACUAUAACGGUCCUAAGGUAGCGAAAUUCCUUGUCGGGUAAGUUCCGACCUGCACGAAUGGCGUAAUGAUGGCCAGGCUGUCUCCACCCGAGACUCAGUGAAAUUGAACUCGCUGUGAAGAUGCAGUGUACCCGCGGCAAGACGGAAAGACCCCGUGAACCUUUACUAUAGCUUGACACUGAACAUUGAGCCUUGAUGUGUAGGAUAGGUGGGAGGCUUUGAAGUGUGGACGCCAGUCUGCAUGGAGCCGACCUUGAAAUACCACCCUUUAAUGUUUGAUGUUCUAACGUGGACCCGUGAUCCGGGUUGCGGACAGUGUCUGGUGGGUAGUUUGACUGGGGCGGUCUCCUCCUAAAGAGUAACGGAGGAGCACGAAGGUUGGCUAAUCCUGGUCGGACAUCAGGAGGUUAGUGCAAUGGCAUAAGCCAGCUUGACUGCGAGCGUGACGGCGCGAGCAGGUGCGAAAGCAGGUCAUAGUGAUCCGGUGGUUCUGAAUGGAAGGGCCAUCGCUCAACGGAUAAAAGGUACUCCGGGGAUAACAGGCUGAUACCGCCCAAGAGUUCAUAUCGACGGCGGUGUUUGGCACCUCGAUGUCGGCUCAUCACAUCCUGGGGCUGAAGUAGGUCCCAAGGGUAUGGCUGUUCGCCAUUUAAAGUGGUACGCGAGCUGGGUUUAGAACGUCGUGAGACAGUUCGGUCCCUAUCUGCCGUGGGCGCUGGAGAACUGAGGGGGGCUGCUCCUAGUACGAGAGGACCGGAGUGGACGCAUCACUGGUGUUCGGGUUGUCAUGCCAAUGGCACUGCCCGGUAGCUAAAUGCGGAAGAGAUAAGUGCUGAAAGCAUCUAAGCACGAAACUUGCCCCGAGAUGAGUUCUCCCUGAGACUUUAAGUCUCCUGAAGGAACGUUGAAGACGACGACGUUGAUAGGCCGGGUGUGUAAGCGCAGCGAUGCGUUGAGCUAACCGGUACUAAUGAACCGUGAGGCUUAACCUU
rnacentral:rRNA from 1 species